rnacentral:rRNA from 1 species
CUGACGCAGCAACGCCGCGUGGGUGAUGAAGGUCUUCGGAUUGUAAAGCCCUGUUUUCUGGGACGAUAAUGACGGUACCAGAGGAGGAAGCCACGGCUAACUACGUGCCAGCAGCCGCGGUAAUACGGAGGUGGCGAGCGUUGUCCGGAUUUACUGGGCGUAAAGGGUGCGUAGGCGGAUGUUUAAGUGGGAUGUGAAAUCCCCGG